CUACAGCAACAAUGGCUCCAGAGCCUCUGGAUACCAUUUCCCAGCCUGCCUAUGGUGCAGAGUGGGGACAGAAUAGACUGGAAACUUGUACAAAAGCCAAUGGGCAAUCAAUCUUAAUAUCUAUAGCAAGUGAGUUUAUAAUACAAUAGAUAAAGUACAUCAGGCAGAAGAAGAGAACCAAGACAACUUAAGAGGCUGAUGCGUGAUGUUCCUUAAUCGCCACUCCAUCCAGCACGCAAGAGACUACAGUCCACCUCCUCAUCCCCGUGUGUUGGCAAAGCAGAAGUCUGAUAAGAAAGAUUCAUAUGCUGCUAAUGCUAAGCCCUUAGGCAUGGAAGAGCAAGCCCAUCAUGGCAUCCUAUCUGGCCUCAAGCACAAAGAAGCUACACAGCAAGGCAAUUUGGUAUCAUUACCAACAUCCUGGACAUAAAAUUGAUAACAGGACUUUUAUAAUAAUUUAAAAGCUUCUAUUAUUAUAUUAAGUAUAUAGUCACAGUUAUGAUUGCUGAGCUAAAAUAA